rnacentral:rRNA from 1 species
UACGUAGGGGGCAAGCGUUGUCCGGAUUCAUUGGGCGUAAAGAGCGUGUAGGCGGCCAGGUAGGUCGGUUGUGAAAACUGGAGGCUCAACCUUCAGAGGUCGACCGAAACCAUCUGGCUAGAGUCCGGGAGAGGAGAGUGGAAUUCCUGGUGUAGCGGUGAAAUGCGCAGAUAUCAGGAAGAACACCCGUGGCGAAAGCGGCUCUCUGGAACGGUACUGACGCUGAGACGCGAAAGCGUGGGGAGCGAACGGG